rnacentral:rRNA from 1 species
GACGAACGCUGGCGGCGUGCUUAACACAUGCAAGUCGAACGCUGAUGGCCCAGCUUGCUGGGUUGGAUGAGUGGCGAACGGGUGAGUAACACGUGAGUAACCUGCCCCCUUCUUUGGGAUAACGGUCGGAAACGGCUGCUAAUACCGGGUAUUCACUGUCCUUCGCAUGGGGGGUGGUGGAAAGGUUUUUUCUGGUGGGGGAUGGGCUCGCGGCCUAUCAGCUUGUUGGUGGGGUGAUGGCUUACCAAGGCUUUGACGGGUAACCGGCCUGAGAGGGUGACCGGUCACAUUGGGACUGAGAUACGGCCCAGACUCCUACGGGAGGCAGCAGUGGGGAAUAUUGCACAAUGGGCGAAAGCCUGAUGCAGCGACGCCGCGUGAGGGAUGGAGGCCUUCGGGUUGUAAACCUCUUUCGCUCAUGGUCAAGCCGCAACAAUGGUUGUGGUGAGGGUAGUGGGUAAAGAAGCACCGGCUAACUACGUGCCAGCAGCCGCGGUAAUACGUAGGGUGCGAGCGUUGUCCGGAAUUAUUGGGCGUAAAGGGCUUGUAGGCGGUUUGUCGCGUCUGCCGUGAAAUCCUCUGGCUUAACUGGGGGCGUGCGGUGGGUACGGGCAGGCUUGAGUGCGGUAGGGGAGACUGGAACUCCUGGUGUAGCGGUGGAAUGCGCAGAUAUCAGGAAGAACACCGGUGGCGAAGGCGGGUCUCUGGGCCGUUACUGACGCUGAGGAGCGAAAGCGUGGGGAGCGAACAGG